UGGUAAUGCAGUGGGAGCCACCUCCAGC
rnacentral:piRNA from 1 species